rnacentral:rRNA from 1 species
UACGUAGGGUGCGAGCGUUGUCCGGAAUUACUGGGCGUAAAGCGUGCGCAGGCGGUUCUAUAAGACAGAUGUGAAAUCCCCGGGCUCAACCUGGGAACUGCAUUUGUGACUGUAGAGCUGGAGUACGGUAGAGGGGGAUGGAAUUCCGCGUGUAGCAGUGAAAUGCGUAGAUAUGCGGAGGAACACCGAUGGCGAAGGCAAUCCCCUGGGCCUGCACUGACGCUCAUGCACGAAAGCGUGGGGAGCAAACAGG